ACUCUAGAUGGCGUGGAUGUGCGGCUAUAAUGGAGAUUUUGAGUGACAAGUUAAACGUAAGUUUGUUACGUUAUCCUGUUAUGUGUUUCAAAGGAUUUUUCAUCAAAAAAUUUACGUCAACGACAGAGUCUUCAUCUACUUUGUGUUGCUAACCAUCAGCCUUCAGCAUCCCAGGUCUCCAGAUUUCCAAGUUUCUCUGAUUAGCAAAAUUCCCGUCAGCUCUUCAUUGUGGCUUCUCUUCCUCUCUUCUUAGUCUGCUGAAUGCCAACAUUGAAUAAGGUUCAUCAUCAUUGCCUUUCCAUGUUCUUCUCACCGUUACUUAGCCAGCUCACAUGGAUAGGCUUUAAUAACAUCUCCAUUUUUUGGACUGCAAAUAUUCAUGUUCGUUCGGUACAACACUGCCGUUUUGACAAUUUCGGUAGUUUCGCCCCCAGUGGACCACACGCAACUACAUUUUCUUCGUCUUCCUGCCGUUGUUGUCAACGACUUCACCUCAUCGCUAUCUUCGUUGACAUCUUCGCCUUCAUCUCUGUCUCGUCGUCUUGGUCGUCUUCAUCUUCGUCUCGUCGUUUUGGUCGUCUUCGCCUUCAUCUCUGUCUCGUCGUCUUGGUCGUCUUCCCCUUCAUCCCCGUCUCGUCGUUUUGGUCGUCUUCGCCUUCAUCUCCGUCUCUCCGUCUCGUCGUCUUCGCUGUCUUUGUUUACGCCAUUACCUCGUCGCUGGCUUCUCCUUCGCCUUUCCCGUAGGGAAUUCAUCGUGGAUCGUCGCUCUGGUACUGUUUUAUUUUGCAUUGUUAUGUUUAAGUUAACCCGUUGGCUGCCACCCCGUUUGCGUCCCAUUUUUUUUGUAGCUUGUAGGGACCGGCCGCAAUGGCCUUCGCCGCAAGGCGCUUUAGGCAAUGCACCAGUAGGGACUUCUCUUUGUCGAUGCGGUGGCGGAUUCCUGAGGGUGUGCAUUCCCUGUAAUGGAUUCCGUCGCCGUGUCAACCCGGACUUGUCUUCGGACAAGUCCCACCUUGUUCGCGAUCCUUAAGACGCGAUGCGUAGCUACUGUAGUUUAAGCAACCUACGGGUUGCGUGGCCUGGCAGCCAACGGGUUAACUUAUAGUUAAGUGUAUGUAUGUUUGUGUAAAUAUAUUUGUGUAUGUAUUGUUAUGUAAAAUAGUGGUGGAA
rnacentral:misc_RNA from 1 species